rnacentral:rRNA from 1 species
GCGGUGCGGCAUCUAUAAUGCAGUCGAGCGGACCGACGGGAGCUUGCUCCCUUAGGUCAGCGGCGGACGGGUGAGUAACACGUGGGUAACCUGCCUGUAAGACUGGGAUAACUCCGGGAAACCGGGGCUAAUACCGGAUGCUUGAUUGAACCGCAUGGUUCAAUCAUAAAAGGUGGCUUUUAGCUACCACUUACAGAUGGACCCGCGGCGCAUUAGCUAGUUGGUGAGGUAACGGCUCACCAAGGCGACGAUGCGUAGCCGACCUGAGAGGGUGAUCGGCCACACUGGGACUGAGACACGGCCCAGACUCCUACGGGAGGCAGCAGUAGGGAAUCUUCCGCAAUGGACGAAAGUCUGACGGAGCAACGCCGCGUGAGUGAUGAAGGUUUUCGGAUCGUAAAACUCUGUUGUUAGGGAAGAACAAGUACCGUUCGAAUAGGGCGGCACCUUGACGGUACCUAACCAGAAAGCCACGGCUAACUACGUGCCAGCAGCCGCGGUAAUACGUAGGUGGCAAGCGUUGUCCGGAAUUAUUGGGCGUAAAGCGCGCGCAGGCGGUUUCUUAAGUCUGAUGUGAAAGCCCCCGGCUCAACCGGGGAGGGUCAUUGGAAACUGGGGAACUUGAGUGCAGAAGAGGAGAGUGGAAUUCCACGUGUAGCGGUGAAAUGCGUAGAGAUGUGGAGGACACCAGUGGCGAAGGCGACUCUCUGGUCUGUACUGACGCUGAGCGCCAAAGCGUGGGGAGGCGACAGAUUAGAUACCCUGUAGUCCACCGCGGUAACGAUGAUGCUAGUUGUUAGAGGGUUUCCGCCUUUAUGCUGCAGCAACGCAAUAGCACUUCGCUUGGGGAGUACGUUCGCAGGACUGACUCAGGAUGACGGGCGGCAAGCGUGACAUGGUAUACGAGAACCGGAACUUACAGGUCUGACCUCCUGUGCAC